rnacentral:misc_RNA from 1 species
UCACUUCAAUCCGUCGAAGUGCACAUCAAGGUUGGUGCGGAGUCGCUGUGAAAAUGUGACGGCCCUGUGCGCACGCCGUCCCCAUCUAGCUUUCCUGAAGAUCCCUUUUGUUUUCCGUUUUCAGGGGCGAUGACCACCCUGAAGGGCUCAUCGUUAUCCGCAGCCCCAAUCGGAGGAGUGGCGGCGCAGACAAUGCUGCCCAGCACCUGCGGCGAGGAAACGGAUCUGCCCGGCGUGCCACGCGUUGGCUGCGUGGCUGUCAUCUCCUACAAGCCUCGCAGCCUACACGGCUUUUCCGCCUGCGUGGUCGGGAUGGCCGACGGAAUUGCCAUUCUUGGCCCAGAUCUCACCCAGCGGCGCUAUGGUCGCCACUGUCUCCUCACGCGGCUCCUCUGGCGGCCGGUGGCGCCGCUCGAGGGCGGAGGAGGGCGGUCAAACGCCACCGCGCGCGAGGGCGAGAGCGCGGCCGUAUCUUGCAGUGGCACCGCCAUACUACCGCACACGAAGGGAAGCUGUGCCAGCAUUGUCGCUGUCACCGCCUGCCUCGUCGCAGGUGAGGAUGGGAACGGUGCCCAUGCAGCGCAGGCAACUGCCGAGGACGACACGAUCGCUAUUGUGGUUGCCUGGUCCGAUGCCACGCUGCAGCACCACAUAACAGUCCUCAUGGCUCAGUUGCGGUGUAUCCUGGCGCCGACCUCGGCAGGCAAUGUCGGCAGCAGCGGCGGACACGUGGAAGCAGGGCUGGUGCAUGUGGUGGCUCAUGAUGCCCUACCCUUGUGCCCGAUGCAGUCUGUGCUUCGUUUGUUUUACCACCCUGCUAUGGCAGCUUCCGAAAACAAGACGGCCCCAAAUCAUGUUGUAAUGUGCUCUGUAUACUCCUCGUUAGGCUCGACGACGCCGUCUGCGGGGCACUUCGGCCAGUCCGACGUAGGGGCCAGCACCAACAGCGCGCCUGCCAACGCAGUCGUGAAGCAGUCGCACCCGACUGUCGGCAGUGCCGCCGCUGCAGCAGAGUUGGGCGGCACCUCCGCAGCAGCAUCAACACGGCGGCGCGGCGAGCUGCUCUUCCUCACCGUCUCGGCCUGCCAUGUCCGAGGCGCUGCUGAAGCGACGGCGGCUGCCUCCCCGUGUGUGGGCAGCGCUUGUGCCAACUCCUGCAUCCAAGUGCGUGCGGGGCCGUCAAAGGGCAAAGAUGUGGCCCCGUGGCUGCUGCAGUUUCAGCCAGACCGCGUCAUCUGCGCCUUCGCGGUGCAGUCGACCACGACAAGCGUGAUCGCGGCGGCCGGGACGACUGACGGUCGGGUGUACCUGCUGGGACUCACCUCGCAGCGCCUGGUGCUGCGAAUCAGCGGGCCCGUGGCCGAUGUGAUGUUUGUGCAGACGAAGCGGGCGAAUGGCCGAUCACAGACCCGCAACGCUGUCGUGGAUGGCCUACUGGACGACGCCAUGGAAGACGACACGCGGAGGAACGGCAGUUUUUCGAGUCAGGCAGACGCGUUUGCGCAGCAUGAAGGGAUCGACUUCGCCGCACUGGUGAUUCUCGAUAGCGCCGGUCACCUUCUGGUGCUGCGCGCCAUCAACAGCGGCGCCGCUAUCACGCAAAGCGUCGCAGAUAUCCCGCAGAUCAUCACACUUGCGAAUGGGCAGCAGCCUACGUUCACAGCCGUGAACUCGUCAACGGCGAGCCUCGAGGGCGCGCCCAUUAGCUCGAAAAACUUCCACGAUUUGAGCACCCUGCGCCACUUCUUCAGUCCCUGCCGCCUCCCACUGUCGCAGCUCCAGCAACAGCAACAGCAACAGCAGCGGAAGCAGGGGCGGAGCGACCCCUCUCCUGCGAACCCGCCGCUUGCCUCUAGCAGCCUUACCACGUCCCCUGUGAAUCAGAGUUUCUCGACCGGGGCGACAGGCGCCGAGGAGGCCACCAUAGCGGGCCACAUCCUGAGUCGUGGUCUGCUGUGCGUGACAUGCGUCUACAACGCAAAGGGUGAUGCAGAGCUUGUCGUGAGCACGAUGGGGCAGGUGGUCGUAUCCGUGCCCUUCAGUCCCACGGACGGGUGUUUCCGCAUUGCCGGCUUCACCAUCACGCCGGCCCCGAUGUUCUACGUUGGCUUCGUGGACUUCUUCGCCGACGGCAAUCCUACGCUAGUCAUGGCUGGGCUGACGAACGUGCUCGUAGCGAGUCGCCCGCAGUCGACCAUCCGUGAUCGCGUGCAGCUUCUACUGCGCCUGCUCGACAAGAAGGAGCGUGAGCAGCAAAACGUGGAGAACGGCAUGGCAGACGGAUGACGGGGCAGCCGACGAGGUCGAACCGCGGCUGCUCAUGUCGAGCGUCAAGGCUGUUCUCUGCGCUAAAACUCUUCGGUCAUGGGUGGUCUCCGGCACAUUACUAUCAAUCCCGCUACGUUGUGCUUUCGGAGCCUUCCCAAGAGGGCAACCGAUUAUUACAGAGCAAGCUUUACAGCAAAAGAGAUAUAGAUACGCAGCGACUCUUCGACAGGGUGUAAGUGCCCCACAGACUGGGUGGCCGCUCUUCCACCGCCGCGCAAUCUUAGCAGCGGCAACAGGCGGCACCUAUGAAGCCUCACUAAAAGCUGUUUUUUUGAGGGGGGAAGUAUCGGCUCCCCCCCUUCUCUGGUCUCUUUGCAUUUCCACUACACAUCCUUCCCUCACCUCUCGAGAGCUUCUCCUGGUCAUAUCAAG